GACGAACGCUGGCGGCGUGCCUAAUACAUGCAAGUCGAACGCAUUUUCUUUCACCGUAGCUUGCUACACCGAAAGAAAAUGAGUGGCGAACGGGUGAGUAACACGUGGGUAACCUGCCCAUCAGCGGGGGAUAACACUUGGAAACAGGUGCUAAUACCGCAUAAUUCCAUUUACCGCAUGGUAGAUGGAUGAAAGGCGCUUUUGCGUCACUGAUGGAUGGACCCGCGGUGCAUUAGCUAGUUGGUGGGGUAACGGCCUACCAAGGCUGCGAUGCAUAGCCGACCUGAGAGGGUGAUCGGCCACACUGGGACUGAGACACGGCCCAGACUCCUACGGGAGGCAGCAGUAGGGAAUCUUCGGCAAUGGACGCAAGUCUGACCGAGCAACGCCGCGUGAGUGAAGAAGGUUUUCGGAUCGUAAAACUCUGUUGUUAGAGAAGAACAAGGAUGAGAGUGGAAAGUUCACCCCUUGACGGUAUCUAACCAGAAAGCCACGGCUAACUACGUG
rnacentral:rRNA from 1 species